UACGUAGGGUGCGAGCGUUGUCCGGAAUUAUUGGGCGUAAAGGGCUCGUAGGCGGUCUGUCGCGUCGGGAGUGAAAACUCAGGGCUUAACCCUGAGCCUGCUUCCGAUACGGGCAGACUAGAGGUAUGCAGGGGAGAACGGAAUUCCUGGUGUAGCGGUGGAAUGCGCAGAUAUCAGGAAGAACACCGGUGGCGAAGGCGGCUCUCUGGGCCUUACCUGACGCUGAGGAGCGAAAGCGUGGGUAGCGAACAGG
rnacentral:rRNA from 1 species